AACGAACGCUGGCGGCAGGCUUAACACAUGCAAGUCGAACGCCCCGCAAGGGGAGUGGCAGACGGGUGAGUAACACGUGGGAACAUGCCCAAAGGUACGGAACAACUCCGGGAAACUGGAGCUAAUACCGGAUGUGCCCGAAAGGGGAAAGAUUUAUCGCCUUUGGAUUGGCCCGCGUCGGAUUAGCUAGUUGGUGGGGUAAAAGCCUACCAAGGCGACGGUCCGUAGCUGGUUUGAGAGAACGACCAGCAACACUGGGACAGAGACACGGCCCAGACUCCUACGGGAGGCAGCAGUGGGGAAUCUUGGACAAUGGGCGCAAGCCUGAUCCAGCCAUGCCGCGUGGAUGAUGAAGGCCUUAGGGUUGUAAAAUCCUUUCGUUGGGGACGAUAAUGACGGUACCCAAAGAAGAAGCCCCGGCUAACUUCGUGCCAGCAGCCGCCGUAA
rnacentral:rRNA from 1 species